rnacentral:rRNA from 1 species
GGGGGAAAAUUAAUAAAUUAAAUUUAAUAAAAAAAUUUUUAAUAUUGGGGGGUAUUAAAGUAUUUUUUUAAAAAAAAAUAAUUUAUUUUAUAGUAAAUUAGUAUUGAGAAAGAAUUUUGAAAUAAUUGAAAAUAAAUUGAUAAUAAAGUAAUUUUUAUUUAAUGUAUCUUGUGUAUCAGAGUUUAUUAAAAAAUAUUUUUUGUAAAAAAAAAUCUCGAAUUUAAAAGAGUUAAUUAAUUAUAAAAGUUAAUGUGGAAAAAUUAUUUUAAAUAAUUAAUUUGAAAUGAAAUGUUAAUCGUUUUUAAAUAUAUCUAGUUAUUUUAGAAAAAAAUUUAAUUUUAAAUUUAAAAAAUUUUAUUUUUAAUUAAAAAUAAAAAUAAAAUUUUUAAAAUUAAAUAUAUUAAGGGAUAAGCUUUAAUAUAAAAAUUUAUAAUAAAUUAAAAUUAAAAUAAGAAUUUUAAUAUUUAUAUUGUUUAAAAAUUAUAAUUUAUUAUAAAAAAUUUUAUUUUUAAUAAAAUUUAAUAAAAAAUUUAAUUUUUUAUAAAAUAAUAAUAAAAAUAGUAAAAUAUUAAAAAUAAUGAUAAAAUUAGUAUAUUAUAAUAAAAUAUAAUUUAAUUAUUAAAAAUUAAAUUAAAGGAAUUCGGCAAAAUUUUAUAUUCACUUGUUUAUCAAAAACAUGUCUUUUAGGUAAUAAUUUAAAGUCUAAUCUGCCCACUGAUAAAUAUAUUAAAGGGCUGCAGUAUAUUGACUGUACAAAGGUAGCAUAAUCAUUAGUCUUUUAAUUGAAGACUUGUAUGAAAGAUUUGAUGAAAUAUAAACUGUCUCUAAUUUAAAUAUAAAAUUUAAUUUUUUAGUUAAAAAGCUAAAAUAAAUUUAAAAGACGAGAAGACCCUAUAGAGUUUUAUAUUAAAUUUAUUUAAGAUUAUAAGUAUAAAUAAAAAUUAAAAAUAAAAUUAUUAUUUUAUUGGGGUGAUAGAAAAAUUAAUUUAACUUUUUUUAGUUAAAAACAUAAAUAAAUGAAUAAAUGAUCCAUUUAUUUUAUGAUUAAAAGAAAAAAUUACCUUAGGGAUAACAGCGUAAUAUUUUUUUUUAGUACAAAUAAGAAAAAAAGUUUGCGACCUCGAUGUUGGAUUAAGAUAAAAUUUAAAUGCAAAAGUUUAAAAUUUUGAUCUGUUCGAUCAUUAAAAUCUUACAUGAUCUGAGUUCAAACCGGUGUAAGCCAGGUUGGUUUCUAUCUUUAAUAAAAAAAAAUAUCUUAGUACGAAAGGAUUGGAUAUUUUUAAUAAUUAAAAUUUAGUGAAUAUUAAUAAUUAAAUAU